rnacentral:rRNA from 1 species
ACGAACGCUGGCGGCGCGCCUAACACAUGCAAGUCGAACGAGAGAGAGGAAGCUUGCUUCCUCAAUCGAGUGGCGAACGGGUGAGUAACGCGUGAGGAACCUGCCUCAAAGAGGGGGACAACAGUUGGAAACGACUGCUAAUACCGCAUAAGCCCACAGCUCGGCAUCGAGCAGAGGGAAAAGGAGCAAUCCGCUUUGAGAUGGCCUCGCGUCCGAUUAGCUAGUUGGUGAGGUAACGGCCCACCAAGGCGACGAUCGGUAGCCGGACUGAGAGGUUGAACGGCCACAUUGGGACUGAGACACGGCCCAGACUCCUACGGGAGGCAGCAGUGGGGAAUAUUGCACAAUGGGGGAAACCCUGAUGCAGCGACGCCGCGUGGAGGAAGAAGGUCUUCGGAUUGUAAACUCCUGUUGUUGAGGAAGAUAAUGACGGUACUCAACAAGGAAGUGACGGCUAACUACGUGCCAGCAGCCGCGGUAAAACGUAGGUCACAAGCGUUGUCCGGAAUUACUGGGUGUAAAGGGAGCGCAGGCGGGAAGACAAGUUGGAAGUGAAAUCUAUGGGCUCAACCCAUAAACUGCUUUCAAAACUGUUUUUCUUGAGUAGUGCAGAGGUAGGCGGAAUUCCCGGUGUAGCGGUGGAAUGCGUAGAUAUCGGGAGGAACACCAGUGGCGAAGGCGGCCUACUGGGCACCAACUGACGCUGAGGCUCGAAAGUGUGGGUAGCAAACAGGAUUAGAUACCCUGGUAGUCCACACCGUAAACGAUGAUUACUAGGUGUUGGAGGAUUGACCCCUUCAGUGCCGCAGUUAACACAAUAAGUAAUCCACCUGGGGAGUACGACCGCAAGGUUGAAACUCAAAGGAAUUGACGGGGGCCCGCACAAGCAGUGGAGUAUGUGGUUUAAUUCGACGCAACGCGAAGAACCUUACCAAGUCUUGACAUCCUGAUGACGGUUCCUUAACCGGAACUUUUCUUCGGAACAUCAGAGACAGGUGGUGCAUGGUUGUCGUCAGCUCGUGUCGUGAGAUGUUGGGUUAAGUCCCGCAACGAGCGCAACCCUUAUGGUCAGUUACUACGCAAGAGGACUCUGGCAGGACUGCCGUUGACAAAACGGAGGAAGGUGGGGAUGACGUCAAAUCAUCAUGCCCUUUAUGACCUGGGCUACACACGUACUACAAUGGCGUUAAACAAAGAGAAGCAAGACCGCGAGGUGGAGCAAAACUCAGAAACAACGUCCCAGUUCGGACUGCAGGCUGCAACUCGCCUGCACGAAGUCGGAAUUGCUAGUAAUCGUGGAUCAGCAUGCCACGGUGAAUACGUUCCCGGGCCUUGUACACACCGCCCGUCACACCAUGGGAGUCAGUAACGCCCGAAGUCAGUGACCUAACUGCAAAGAAGGAGCUGCCGAAGGCGGGACCGAUGACUGGGGUG